rnacentral:lncRNA from 1 species
ACCGCUGCAAACAUCUUUCUUGGUGCUAUCAGAGUUCAAGCGAAACAUGGAUUGCAGAUGCCUAUACAGACGAUAAUGGGAACGAUCAGAGGAAGGAGGUGACAAUUUAUUCAUCACUAGAUGUGAAAGGAUAGUAUACAUCAUCACUUAAGAGAUACUGACAUAUCAAGAGAUCGAAUGUCUUCGAUCUUUGGGUGGCUUUGUCCGACCUUUGCUGGAGAAAGGCUUCACACCGUCGGCGUGCGUGAAGGGGUAGAGGCGCCCGAGCUUCUUAGAGAGAGAGUUUAUGAAGGACUUCUUCGGCAGCGGAGGCUUCUGUGCAGAUGGUAUUUGUCCUGAUGGCUUCUCCACUUCCUUCAGCAGCAUUCUCAUCCUCAGCAACUGCAUUCUCAGGUCAUCGUUCUCCCUUUGCAGGCGCGAGAGUUCGUCCGUGCCUCCGCGAUGUUUCGUCGAACAUGGAGUCGACCUGAGCGACAGCGCAGGAGAUUCUCCCCCCGUGAAGCUUCCGCUCGUUGCAUCUCUGAAGCGCUGCUGCUCGCAGAAAAGAACCUGAACCACCGUCUGCACCGGAAGCCUUUCGUUCUGAGCCGCAUGAGCACAAGCCUCCCUUGACAGUUUCUGGCAGUCCAUCAAGCUGCAAACCUUCUUCCUCUCCUCAUCAGUCGAUGACGGGUGAGCCUGCAAGUUGAGUCAGUAGCAGCAAAUCACGGAUGGGAAGCAAAAGAAGCAGAAGCAGAUGUCUCACCUUGAGGUAUAUGUCAAUGGCUCUGUACAUCCCAUCUUCGUUAACUCUUGCUUGCUCGGACACCAACUCACCAAGGCUAAUAAACCUGGCGAUCGUCAAGUUGGGAUCAGAUGCAAUCUCCGCAAGGUAGCUCUCCAUCAGCCUUCCAACUCGCUCCAUGUCGCCGUGCGGUGGCGAGAUGUAGUCGUCGUCGGUGCUGUAGCCAAUCCGGCUUCCAUUGACCUCAUGCUCGAGGUAGUUCAUCAGUAUCCUCUGAACCGUGUCGACGUCGAACAUGGUGUCGCCAUCGAAGGUGAACGAGGGAAUCAGUAGAUCGUCUAUCACUGCCUGGCCGAGUUGCAAGCCCAUCCUCUUCUCCAGAUCAAG